GAUGAACGCUGGCGGCGUGCCUAAUACAUGCAAGUCGAGCGAACGGACGAGAAGCUUGCUUCUCUGAUGUUAGCGGCGGACGGGUGAGUAACACGUGGAUAACCUACCUAUAAGACUGGGAUAACUUCGGGAAACCGGAGCUAAUACCGGAUGAUAUUUUGAACCGCAUGGUUCAAAAGUGAAAGACGGUCUUGCUGUCACUUAUAGAUGGAUCCGCGCUGCAUUAGCUAGUUGGUAAGGUAACGGCUUACCAAGGCAACGAUGCAUAGCCGACCUGGGAGGGUGAUCGGCCACACCGGAACUGAGACACGGUCCAGACUCCUACGGGAGGCAGCAGUAGGGAAUCUUCCGCAAUGGGCGAAAGCCUGACGGAGCAACGCCGCGUGAGUGAUGAAGGUCUUCGGAUCGUAAAACUCUGUUAUUAGGGAAGAACAUAUGUGUAAGUAACUGUGCACAUCUUGACGGUACCUAAUCAGAAAGCCACGGCUAACUACGUG
rnacentral:rRNA from 1 species